rnacentral:rRNA from 1 species
UACGGAGGGUGCAAGCGUUAUCCGGAUUCACUGGGUUUAAAGGGUGCGUAGGCGGAAUGAUAAGUCAGCGGUGAAAUCCCUCGGCUUAACCGAGGAACUGCCGUUGAUACUGUCAAUCUUGAGUACAUUUGAUGUGGGGCGGAAUGUGUCAUGUAGCGGUGAAAUGCUUAGAUAUGACAUAGAACACCAAUUGCGAAGGCAGCUUACUACAGGGACAUUGACACUGAGGCACGAAAGCGUUGGGGAUCAAACAGG